rnacentral:rRNA from 1 species
GACGAACGCUGGCGGCGCGCCUAACACAUGCAAGUCGAACGAGCAAGAGAGAGCUUGCUUUCUCGAGCGAGUGGCGAACGGGUGAGUAACGCGUGAGGAACCUGCCUCAAAGAGGGGGACAACAGUUGGAAACGACUGCUAAUACCGCAUAAGCCCACGGCUCGGCAUCGAGCAGAGGGAAAAGGAGCAAUCCGCUUUGAGAUGGCCUCGCGUCCGAUUAGCUAGUUGGUGAGGUAACGGCCCACCAAGGCAACGAUCGGUAGCCGGACUGAGAGGUUGAACGGCCACAUUGGGACUGAGACACGGCCCAGACUCCUACGGGAGGCAGCAGUGGGGAAUAUUGCACAAUGGGGGAAACCCUGAUGCAGCGACGCCGCGUGGAGGAAGAAGGUCUUCGGAUUGUAAACUCCUGU